ACUCGGGCUGAGAGGGCAGCCGUCCCCAGGUUUUGAGAUUCUUCUUUUAGCCCCUUGAAAAUUAAAAAAAAAAAAUUCUUUUAACUCCUAGGAAGUUUUAUAAGUUUGGAAGUCUUUUUCUUACCCCUCCAAUAAUUUGACAAAAUUCUAUUGCCCCACCUCCUCCUAGUAUUUGCUUUAUGGAAAAUUUGAACUUUCACUUUUUUUUUUGAAAUAAAUACUCCUCCAAUUGCCUCCCCCUCAUAUUGAUAAAGGAAGAAGAAAAGUUUGAUUUGGCAUAUGAAGAAAAUAUAAUUGUUGAAAAUUUUAUUGGUUCGGACUCUCCUCAAGGUGAUGAAAAGAUAUUUUGAUUUGAUAGAUAUGGAUUUCAUCGGAAUUCAAAGCUCCAAAAGAGUUGAUUGACAAUAUGAAAUUUUUGGAUGAUUGUGGUGCUAGUGGCUAUUCUGAAUUAUUUGGUGAUGAUAAUUUUGGCAAGAGAGCAACAAUCUAUAAUUUUGUAUUUUUGGACACUUACAUUGGUGGUAAAUAUGGUGACUCUGAUGAUGAAUGGAUUUGUAUGAAUGAAUACUUUAAUCAAGAAGAAAUUGCUGAGAAAUUGUUUGCAAAAUACAAAGUGCGUCCACUGUCACAUAUAAAAAUGGAGUUAAUAACCGACAACAAGAUGGAGUUGUAUGUCAACUAUACAGUGAUACAGAUUUGCAUAGAGAUUGUUGCUCGAGAUGGUGUUGGACCUUCUGCCUCAAUGGCGAGCUUGGUUUAAGAGAAGCAAUAUUAGCAAACUAAACUAAGUCUAGAACCAUUUAUUUAUUAGUUUUAUUAGAGUCAGUUUUUUAGUAGUUGUAUGAUUUAAGAAUUUGUAUUUUACUUGGUAAUUUCUU
rnacentral:lncRNA from 1 species